rnacentral:rRNA from 1 species
UACGUAGGGGGCAAGCGUUGUCCGGAAUCAUUGGGCGUAAAGAGCGUGUAGGCGGCCAGAUAAGUCCGCUGUGAAAUCUCGAGGCUCAACUUCGAGCUGUCGGUGGAAACUGUCUGGCUAGAGUCCGGAAGAGGAGAAUGGAAUUCCUGGUGUAGCGGUGAAAUGCGCAGAUAUCAGGAAGAACACCCGUGGCGAAGGCGGUUCUCUGGGACGGUACUGACGCUGAUGCGCGAAAGCGUGGGGAGCAAACAGG